CCUACGGGAGGCAGCAGUGAGGAAUAUUGGUCAAUGGCCGUAAGGCUGAACCAGCCAAGUCGCGUGAAGGAAGAAGGAUCUAUGGUUUGUAAACUUCUUUUAUAGGGGAAUAAAGGUAUCCACGUGUGGAUAUUUGCAUGUACCCUAUGAAUAAGCAUCGGCUAACUCCGUGCCAGCAGCCGCGGUAAUACGGAGGAUGCGAGCGUUAUCCGGCUUUAUUGGGUUUAAAGGGUGCGUAGGUUGUUUUUUAAGUCAGCGGUGAAAGUUUGUGGCUCAACCAUAAAAUUGCCGUUGAAACUGGCAGACUUGAGUGUGUUUGAGGUAGGCGGAAUGCGUGUUGUAGCGGUGAAAUGCAUAGAUAUCACGCAGAACUCCGAUUGCGAAGGCAGCUUACUACGCCAUAACUGACACUGACGCACGAAAGCGUGGGGAUCAAACAGGAUUAGAUACCCGUGUAGUC
rnacentral:rRNA from 1 species